UAUUGAUGAUGUGGACAAUUCCAAAAAAGAUAUUUGAACCUCUCCCAAGCAUGAAAAAAAUUCUCAUCUGGAUUUUUCUUAAAACUCAAAAUCUCACUAUAUAGUCU
rfam:Capsicum annuum cultivar Zunla-1 chromosome 9, whole genome shotgun sequence